rnacentral:tRNA from 1 species
GGAGAGGUCGCAUAGUUGGUCUAGUGCGCACGCUUGGAAAGCGUGUAUGCCGCAAGGCAUCAAGGGUUCGAAUCCCUUCCUCUCCG